UUCUGAUAAAGUGAUACAAUAUUAAAUGAUACAAUGUGUCAUAGUUUUUUGGCUCUUUUGUUGUUCUCUUUUUAUUGGUGCCAUAUGCUUCAUGAGUUGUGGUAAAUUAUUAAGUGCAAUAGAUUGGGGAGCCACCAUCUUAAUUACUACUUGUAUACGAAAUGGAGAUGCAUGUAUUAAAUUGCAUUUCGAGUCUGAUAAUCUGUCACCUUUAAAAUGUCUUGCCCAUUGUUGGAUAAUGUUUUUUUUAAGAUGAAAUGAUUAUCUAACACUAGAAAAUUCGUUUAGGUUUCAGACGCAUCUAGCGCUCGUAAUAUGCAUCAAUAAUCUCGUUGCCCUUCAGGUUCAACAUCUUAAUUGCCGAGCUCACUAAGACUGGAUCUGAUAUGAUAUUAUUAGUUUUUGUUUUUAUUUCUCUUUCUCUAGGGUUAAAAAGCUAGAAAUUGUUGGUACUGUGAUUUAGUGACUAAAUACUCAUUUAAAGAUAUAUGGAUAGUACUGUGAGACAUUUUGGUAUAUAUGACUACAAAACUUCUUUUA